rnacentral:rRNA from 1 species
UACGAAGGGGGCUAGCGUUGUUCGGAAUUACUGGGCGUAAAGCGCGCGCAGGCGGCUAUCCAAGUCAGUGGUGAAAGCCCGGAGCUUAACUCCGGAACUGCCAUUGAAACUGUUUAGCUGGAGUAUGAGAGAGGUGAGUGGAAUUCCCAGUGUAGAGGUGAAAUUCGUAGAUACUGGGAAGAACACCGGUGGCGAAGGCGGCUCACUGGCUCAUUACUGACGUUCAUGCGCGACAGCGUGGGGAUCAAACAGG